AACCCUUUUACAAGCCUGCUUUUACAUGGGAUCACGGAAUACAACCGUCUUUUGAUUUCUCGUAGAGACUUUUAAGGUGCACUUUCGUCGUCUGAUUUGACAGAUUCAUUUUUUAGCAGUUGAUUUCCCUAGCUUAUUGUUCACAUUUCUGAAUCAAAAUCUGAUCAAAAUUCAUUAUGGAAUUUAAAAAGAGUAGGAAAAAAACGAUUGUGUGGAAGGAGGAGGAAUCGGCUCCCAAAAGAUCUAGGAAGAAAGCUCCGGAAAGUGUAAUGUCUGAAUCAACAAAAACUAGGGUGAUAAAGACAACUUAUAUUGAUGGAAAUAAGUCAAAACCCUCCUUAAAAAGCAACAAGUCAGGUAACUUGGCUGAAGCUGUUAAUAACCUAAGCGACCAAAGCAUCUCAAAUUAUCUUGAGCCCGUUGCUGGACUUUCAUUGUCUGCUGAAGACAAAAUGGUCGCGCACGACUAAACGAUGCGUAUUCAAUAGCUGUGGCGUCACUUUUUACCCUACGAAGAACGGUACUUAUCGUCUAUUCGAUAGUUGCAUGGUGGAAAAGUGAGUGAAAAAGCAACGACGAAAAUAGUGGAAAGAAAGUCGCAAAGUGCCAGUUCACUUCUAAAGUCUAGAGCCCAUCGAGAUAGAGGAAACGAGUUUAAAAAAUUUAAAAGGUUGAAGCAACCUUUUACUGGGACAGGGAUGGUUAAACUGGGCCGUUAAAAAUCUCAGACCAACCCAAAAGGUGUUAAGGCCCAGACAAAAACCAAAGCAUUGAGCACUGCUCUUCAAGAAGAUUGCAAUUUUGGGAAUGUAAGCAACAGUGAAAUAGUUGAAGAACUCUGUGCUAGCACCUUAGUUGAAGAAACCAGCGUUGAAGUCUUGACUGGUUCAAGAGACAUUCACCAGGAAAGAAGAAAUGUCCUAGAGAAUGAGGUGCUGACGAUGGAAUUCUUAAGCAAAGCAGCUGAAACAUCCUGCCUGUAUAGUUCACAACAUAGAAGAGCACGAAAAAGCUGGAAGCUCAGAAUGUUGGAACGAGCUGGGGAUUGGGAAAAUUCAAGGCAAAUUUUUUUUAAGCUUUUGUUGCAUCUAAAGCAUAUGUCACCAAUAUUUGCUCUAAAUGCUUCAUGAAGUUGACAUUCUACACCAAAUGCAAAAGUUGUUACAACAUAUACUGCAAUGUCUGUGAUCAAGAAGAACAUUUUGACUCUCCGUUCCAUCAACGUUCCCUCUUCUCUGAAAACACUUCACAAAUCCUGCUGCCUACUCAGUUUGUUAACUCUGAUGGAAGAGUUAUAACUUAUAAGUCAAGAUGUAUGUAUGCCUUGUGUGGCACCAACUACGUGCCCUUCAUGUUUAAAAACUGGGACUUGUCAUGUUCAGCCUGGCUUGAAAAAGAUAGCCGUAAUUACUACAGAAGGGCGUUUUGAUUUAAAUUGGGCUGAAUUUAAAUGUUCCGACUGUAAGGAGAUCAGAACAGUAACGAAUGCAGAUUUUGUUGCUUCCGGAUGGUGGCCUGGUUCCCCCACAACUAAAUCGUAUCUAUUUUCAAUGGAUAAUAUUUGAUGAUUUGCAAAUUUAACUACUCAAAUUAUUAAUAAACGAAUUAAAAAUCAAAUAAAAGCUGAAAUUAACAAGUGAUUUACCUGCGUCGGUCCAUGGACCCAUUGCCAUCCGGAACGGAAGACUGAAAUGUCGGGCACGACGCCCAACCAUCCACUCCUCACAGCGGAACAUGGUCUCUGCUUCCAUAUCGCCAAAUCACACUUUCAAAUUGCGUGUCAGAUUUUCGCCCAUGAAUUCCAGCAUGGUCACAUCGC